UGUGCUAAAAUCCUUUCAUAAAAAUUACAUCGUUUGUGGAAAUCUGUGUCAAAAUUGAUCCAGCAUGAAUUCCAUCUUAGAGAAAAGAUUUUACAUAGAAAAUAGCUCAUUCUUUUUGUUUGCAUUCAGAAGACAUAUGCUGUGCCCCUGAGUGUCACAUGCUUCUCAAGCUUUAAUGAAGUGCUGGGUAGAUCAUAAUGAAGAAGUUACAAUUCUUGAUAUUGUCCACUUCAUUCUUUGAGAACACAGCAAGAAUUCUAGAGACAGAUCACAUGAGAAGGCUAAAGAAAGUUCUGCAGAGUUUUACAUGUGAGUUUCAUCAAGGAUCUUUUCCUUUCAGAAUGGUGCUAAGAGAAACUCUUACAUUAUAAGAUGGUGGUUUGUGUCACAGCUAUUCUGUGAGUCAGACUUGCUGCUGUUCUAUGUAGGAAGCAGACAUGUAUUACUGGAUGUGAAUGUCUGUUGUUCACUGCUUGUGUAAUCGCAUUUUAAUUAAAAGAUGAAAACAUAGCAUCAUUUGCCUGUAAGAACUAAAACUGGAUUAUUGAAAUGGUUAAGCAGAUCUCAAAGUUCAUUUUUAUGUCUAUACGUGCAGUAGUGUGGUACUGGUCCUGAGGAAUUCCCAGCUCAGCUUGGAGACGUCUCAGAGCUGCCCUUCUUACUCCCAUGGUGUCUUUCUCUUCCAGUUCUGCCAAGUUGUAUAAAGGGUGAUGAGAACAGGACUCAGAAAAAGGACCUGGAAGAAAUGGGCAUUGGGCCUGCUUUAUUGGGAGCUUCCUUUUACCAAAUGGGUCAUUCUCCUUCUUAGACAACAUGUAGUAGAUAAAACAUAUUUAAUUCUGGUUUAUCAUCUCAUCGUCAAUUCUUCUUGUCAAUUAUUAUAUUCAUAUUAAGCUCUCAGUUUUUUUAGAACUACAAAAUAAUUUCAAUGUCACCAGUCUAUCUUUCCAAGACAAACAAGUUCUCAAUUCCUUGAGGAAAUUAGAGUUGUAAAUUCUUUUGGAGCAGAACUCUUUUCCAAUAUAGAGCUUGAUGAGUUUGCUAACUAUUCAACCCUCUAUGUGGCACUAAACACAAGCCAGAGGUCAAUGGGUCUUAGAUUCCAUCUGAGUAAGCUCACCAGGAAAAGUGUACUUGGCAUCUGAUCUCUGCUGUACCAAGAACUGAUCUUUCAUACUGAAGAGGACGACACUGAAGCCUCGGUGCAACAGCCUGCAAAAUGAGUGUGAGGUGUCAGUUCUUCUUCGUUUCGUCUCCAAUGACAUGAUCGUGCUGGUCACUGACGAUGCACACCUCCUCCGGCUGUUCUAUCUGGAGCUCAUCCAGGUGAGCCAUGAUCCUGGGACCCACCUGGCAACACAGAUUGAAAUCAUGGAGUGUGUCCAACAUAAAUCUCAGUAUACUGUUAUGCCUGAUGCUGUGUAAUUGGGUCACUUUCUCUCACAACAAUGAAGUCAAGGAAGACGGAACUCUCUUCUAUUCUGAACUGAAAAUCAAAAUUUGGAAUUGGCUUAUUCCAAGUGUUGAAAACAAAGAUAAUGCUGCACACAAAGCCUGUGGGACAUUACUCAAGUGGAAACCCAAGAAAAUACCCAGCUUUACAAACAUUUGUCACAAAGUGUAUCAGGACUUCUGGAUCUGGUGUCUUUGAUGGUCCUGUUGGGUCACCCACUGCUCCCUCUGUGCUCAGAGCCUCCAGUGGUCUCUCGUCCUUUGGCUGGAGAAGGAGCAGCAUUCGUCCUUCAGUCCUCCCUGCUGAGUCCCGAGCUCCCCACUUUCCUGCCAAUGUUCCUAGGAAGGCAGCAGAAGAUGGUGCAAGUACCCGGACUCCUGUUGCACAUCUAGGAGACCAAGAUGAAGCUCCUGGCUCCUGGUUUUGGCCUGGCCCAGACCUGGCUGUUGGCCAUCGGGAGAGUGGACCAG